GCAGCAGCAGUUUUUCCGCUCCGGAGAGAGAUUUCACUACUACUACUGACCCACCGCCUGAUUUAUCCUUUAUACUGUUAAUUAUAUCUAUAUUUCUUUUAAUUAUUCUGUAAUUGUUGUGUUUUCUGUGUUGUUGUUGUUGUUGUUGUUGUUUUGUUUGUUUUUUGUUGUUUUUUCUCUUUCAGGUAACCGGAUCGUUGUGAGGACCGACGCCCCGCGGUCGGAUAUGGACUGGCGGCGGACUUUUAGCGUCCAUCCACCUGAGGCGGAGUCUGGAGCUCCAGAGUCUUCACCUCCUCACACUCCGCCUCUUUCGGUGGAUUCUGCGAUGGACCUCAGCUCAGAUGACUCCAGCAUUCUGUCCGCCAGUCUGGUGGUGAAAAAAACACACUGAAAGAUUAAAUUACAGUGAAGCAUCACCGUCAUACAACUGCAUCCAAAACUACAUAGCACCUAAAAUACUAAAACAGUACGGCACCGUAUGUAGUAUUAAUUAGAUACAUCACAGUCAUACAGUGUAGUAGAGUAUUGUAGACACAGUUUUGGAUGCAGCCAUUGACUGAAGAAUAUUUUAGAUUUAAUUACGACAAUGUGUUUAAGAUUUGUUCAAUCAUUGCACUGGUGCUGAAUUAUCACUGCCUGCACAUUUUGCUGUGAUA